rnacentral:rRNA from 1 species
UACGUAGGGACCAAGCGUUGUUCGGAUUUACUGGGCGUAAAGGGCGCGUAGGCGGCGUGACAAGUCACUUGUGAAAUCCCCGGGCUCAACCUGGGAAUUGCAGUCGAGACUGUUCGGCUAGAGUGUGGGAGAGGGUGGUGGAAUUCCCGGUGUAGCGGUGAAAUGCGUAGAUAUCGGGAGGAACGAUCAGUGGCGAAGGCGGACCCACCUGGCCCAACACUGACGCUG